GGCUCAGGAUGAACGCUGGCGGCGUGCUUAACACAUGCAAGUCGAACGAAGCCCUCGGGCUUAGUGGCGGACGGGUGAGUAACGCGUGAGAAUCUACCUUCUAGAUGGGGACAACCGUUGGAAACGACAGCUAAUCCCCAAUAAGCCGAGAGGUGAAACGGGUAUCCGCUAGAAGAGGAGCUCGCGUCCGAUUAGUUAGUUGGUGGGGUAAAAGCCUACCAAGGCAGCGAUCGGUAGCUGGUCUGAGAGGAUGAGCAGCCACACUGGGACUGAGACACGGCCCAGACUCCUACGGGAGGCAGCAGUGGGGAAUUUUCCGCAAUGGGCGAAAGCCUGACGGAGCAACGCCGCGUGUGGGAAGAAGGCUCUUGGGCUGUCAACCACUUUUCUCAGGGAAGAAGACCUGACGGUACCUGAGGAAUCAGCCUCGGCUAACUCCGUGCCAGCAGCCGCGGUAAUACGGAGGAGGCAAGCGUUAUCCGGAAUUAUUGGGCGUAAAGCGUCCGCAGGGGGCGCAUCAAGUCUGCUGUUAAAGGUCGGAGCUAAACUCCGGUAGAGCAGUGGAAACUGGUGCGCUAGAGGGCGACAGGGGUAGAGGGAAUUCCCAGUGUAGCGGUGAAAUGCGUAGAGAUUGGGAAGAACACCGGUGGCGAAAGCGCUCUACUGGGUCGCACCUGACCCUCAGGGACGAAAGCUAAGGUAGCGAAAGGGAUUAGAUACCCCUGUAGUCUUAGCCGUAAACGAUGGAUACUAGGCGUGGUUUGUAUCGACCCAAGCCGUGCCGAAGCUAACGCGUUAAGUAUCCCGCCUGGGGAGUACGCACGCAAGUGUGAAACUCAAAGGAAUUGACGGGGGCCCGCACAAGCGGUGGAGGAUGUGGUUUAAUUCGAUGCAACGCG
rnacentral:rRNA from 1 species